rnacentral:rRNA from 1 species
GAAGCACCGGCUAACUCCGUGCCAGCAGCCGCGGUAAUACGGGAGGGUGCGAGCGUUAAUCGGAAUUACUGGGCGUAAAGCGCAUGCAGGUGGUUUGUUAAGUCAGAUGUGAAAGCCCGGGGCUCAACCUCGGAAUUGCAUUUGAAACUGGCAAACUAGAGUACUGUAGAGGGGGUAGAAUUUCAGGUGUAGCGGUGAAAUGCGUAGAGAUCUGAAGGAAUACCGGUGGCGAAGGCGGCCCCCUGGACAGAUACUGACACUCAGAUGCGAAAGCGUGGGGAGCAAACAGGAUUAGAUAUCCUGGUAG